CACGUAGGGUGCGAGCGUUGUCCGGAUUUAUUGGGCGUAAAGAGCUCGUAGGCGGCUCAGUAAGUCAGGUGUGAAAACUCCAGGCUCAACCUGGAGACGCCACUUGAUACUGCUGUGGCUAGAGUCCGGUAGGGGAGCAUGGAAUUCCUGGUGUAGCGGUGAAAUGCGCAGAUAUCAGGAGGAACACCAGUGGCGAAGGCGGUGCUCUGGGCCGGAACUGACGCUGAGGAGCGAAAGCGUGGGGAGCAAACAGG
rnacentral:rRNA from 1 species